rnacentral:rRNA from 1 species
GCGUGAAGGAAGAAGGCUUUCGGGUUGUAAACUUCUUUUGGCAGGGACGAAGAAAGUGACGGUACCUGCAGAAUAAGCUCCGGCUAACUACGUGCCAGCAGCCGCGGUAAUACGUAGGGAGCGAGCGUUAUCCGGAUUUACUGGGUGUAAAGGGCGCGUAGGCGGGAGUGCAAGUCAGAUGUGAAAUCUCCGGGCUCAACCCGGAAACUGCAUUUGAAACUGUAUUUCUUGAGUGAUGGAGAGGCAAGCGGAAUUCCUAGUGUAGCGGUGAAAUGCGU